rnacentral:sRNA from 1 species
AAGUAAGGUUGUUCUGCUAAGACCGCGACGUCCUGCCGCAAAGCAGAACUGACCUGCCUCCUGCAGG